AAGAGCCCAGCUUGAAAA
rnacentral:snRNA from 1 species